UAAAGAUUUCCUUUGUGGGAGAAAUGUCAUGAUUACAAAGAAAUCCAAAUCAGUCCAAGAUCAUUUUGCCAAUUGUUUUGCUAUGCAGACAAAAUAGAAAUCUCGUGAAUCUCAGCAAUAUCUUUAAGGUGGAAAAUUCUCGGCUGGAUCAAGGUCAUAAUUCUAUGAACUCUGCUUUGGGGGCUGUUAAUUAAAAAGUCUUUGGCUAAAACCACAUUGAGAGGAAGAACUGGAAUCCAGGACUCAUCCUUCUAGCAGAGUGUGCUUAUUUGCAGAUGCCAGAGUCUGCAGUCUGUGUUCUUCACUAGGCCACCAAAUAUGUCCAGCCUUUAGCAGGAAGACGGAACAAAAUAUCCAAUACAGAGGUUAAUUUCAUCCACUUCUGACAAGACUUUCCUGUUCAGAAAAGAAGGAUUAAUAAACCACAGUCACUCACUGUCUAACCACUAGUCUGAUAGAGAAAAGGCUGGGUCCCACUGGAAUCUGAGUUCAAAAUGUGUAGAAGAUGACAGAGUGUACAUGAGUUUCUCAGCUUAUAGUCAUGAAGCAAACACAGACCUGGACAGUGGGAUAGUUUAUUUUCGGUGAGGAGAAACUGACAAAAGCUGCUCUACCGCUCUAAUGUUCCAGAGUCUAGAUCCCUCAACAGUCCAACCAGCAUCCUUGCUUGACAGAGAUGGGUGAGCAGUCACUCCUUGGCUGCAUUUCUAGGCUGGAUUGAGGCAGCAGGGAGAUGACUGUGCAGUGGGGAUACAGCCGAUGCUGGUUCUCGGGUACUUCCUGCCCAGCAGUGGGAGGAAGAUGAAAGUAACCUUCAAGGAAACAAUAGUAAAUUCUUCACUGGUUUUAUUGUUGUUGCUGAAGAUGAAUGAAUAGGCCCAGCAUAGGCAUCUGAAUGCAUAUCAGAGUAUGCAAAGAAGAGCAAGUGAUGUAUACAAUAGUUGGGAUGAAGGAGUAAAGAAUGUUUUUGCAUGGAAAAUACACCCCAGGCAAGCCAAAAGGUUGGACACCCGUGAAUUAAAGACCAUAUCUAUGCACCUAAAUGAAAACUAAUGCCAGAAUUCCUAGUUUAUGUAUUUUCUGAUGUAAGUACAUAUGCUGCUAAAAGGUAUGGUACUGCAGAU
ensembl:lncRNA